GAAAUGCGAUAAGUAAUGCGAAUUGCAGAACUCAGUGAAUCAUCAAAUCUUUGAACGCAUCUUGCGCCCACUGGUAUUCCGGGGGGCACACCUGUUCGAGCGCCAUUUCAACCCUCAAGCCCCGCUUGGUGAUGGGCCCCGUCCGCGGGCGGGCCCGAAACUCGCAGGCGCCACCACCCGGCCUCAAGCGUAGCAAAACCCUCGCUUGGGCGCCCGGGCGGCGGCUGCCCCGAACGAAUUUUCACAAGGUUGGCCUCGGAUCAGGUGGGGAUACCCGCUGAACUUAA
rnacentral:misc_RNA from 1 species